rnacentral:rRNA from 1 species
GACGAACGCUGGCGGCGUGCUUAAUACAUGCAAGUCGAACGAAGUGGCGAACGGGUGAGUAACGCGUAAUCAACCUGCCCUUCAGAGGGGGACAACAGUGGGAAACGACUGCUAAUACCGUAUACUGAAGGAGGGGAGUGCGUUGGAUUAGCUAGUUGGAGGGGUAACGGCCCACCAAGGCGAUGAUCAGUAGCCGGUCUGAGAGGGUGAACGGCCACAUUGGGACUGAGACACGGCCCAGACUCCUACGGGAGGCAGCAGUAGGGAAUCUUCCGCAAUGGACGGAAGUCUGACGGAGCAACGCCGCGUGAGUGAUGACGGCCUUCGGGUUGUAAAGCUCUGUUGUUCGGGACGCGGUACCGAACUAGAAAGCCACGGCUAACUACGUGCCAGCCGCCGCGGUAAUAC